rnacentral:tRNA from 1 species
UCCUCGGUGGCUCAGAUGGAUAGAGCACCUGCCAUGUAAGCAGGAGGUCCCGGGUUCGACUCCCGGUUGGGGCA